GCCUAACACAUGCAAGUCGAACGAGGACGGACUUUAGUUUACUAAAGUUGUCAGCUAAGUGGCGCACGGGUGAGUAAUAUAUAGUUAACCUGCCUCAAAGAAGGGAAUAAUUGUUGGAAACGACUUGUAACGCCCUAUAUGCCUUUAUUACAUAAGUAAGCAAGGGAAACAUUUAUGGCUUUGAGAUGGGACUGUACGGUAUCAGAUAGUUGGUAAGGUAAUGGCUUACCAAGUCUAUGACGCCUAACUGGUUUGAGAGGAUGAUCAGUCACACUGGAACUGAGACACGGUCCAGACUCCUACGGGAGGCAGCAGUGGGGAAUAUUGCACAAUGGAGGAAACUCUGAUGCAGCAACGCCGCGUGGAGGAUGACACAUUUCGGUGCGUAAACUCCUUUUAUAUAAGAAGAUAAUGACGGUAUUAUAUGAAUAAGCACCGGCUAACUCCGUGCCAGCAGCCGCGGUAAUACGGGGGGUGCAAGCGUUACUCGGAAUCACUGGGCGUAAAGAGCAUGUAGGCUGGUAGAAAAGUUGGAAGUGAAAUCCUGUGGCUUAACCAUAGAACUGCUUCCAAAACUCUCUACCUAGAAUAUGGGAGAGGUAGAUGGAAUUUCUGGUGUAGGGGUAAAAUCCGUAGAGAUCAGAAGGAAUACCGAUUGCGAAGGCGAUCUACUGGAACAUUAUUGACGCUGAGAUGCGAAAGCGUGGGGAGCAAACAGGAUUAGAUACCCUGGUAGUCCACGCCCUAAACGAUGCACACUAGUUGUUGCCAUACUAGAUAUGGCAGUAAUGCAGUUAACACAGUAAGUGUGCCGCCUGGGGAGUACGGUCGCAAGAUUAAAACUCAAAGGAAUAGACGGGGACCCGCACAAGCGGUGGAGCAUGUGGUUUAAUUC
rnacentral:rRNA from 1 species